GGAGAAGGAGAAGAAGAAGAAGGAGACGGAGAACUGGAGAAGGUGAAGCAGAAAGAAAAAGCGAAAGCGAAAAGGAAAGGGAAGAAAGUCGAAGUUGUUAGUUGUGAUGUGAAGCGACAAUAUCCAUUUGAAGGUUUUAACAUUGACGACGAGGGUCCAAUUGAACUAAUGUUAUCCUUCUCGCAAUGGAUAAACGAGGGUCUUUACAAGCAUCAUGCAAAAAAAGGAAAUAAGGAGAAUCACUACUUAGUCAAUUGUUCAAAACUUGAAUUUGGCUAACUUGAUUUAGUAGUUGCAUUUCCAAUGAAUAAGGACCGGUUCUACGUAAUGUCUCAAUCCAAUAGGUGUUGGAAUGAUGAGUCGUUGCAUUGAAGGAACGGUGCAUAAAAAUGUAUGAUUCCAUGUCCUCAAAUAGGUCUAAUAGAAAACUAUCCUCCGAGAUUCAAAAGAUGGCUACAAUGUUGCCAAAGUACCUUGAGUUGAGUGGAACUUUUGAGCAAAACGAGCGAACCAACUAGUAGUUCUUAAAUGUUACCAAGAAAGGAACAAAUCUCACCCAUUCGAAGUCAGUCAUGUUACUGGUAUUGCCCAACAAGAAAGCAGUAGUCUAGAUUGUGAAAUUUUUGUUGCCGCAUACGCUGAGUAUUUGAGUGAUGGAUUACAAGUACCAUCAUGUGAAGUUAGUGCCG